rfam:Nasonia vitripennis chromosome 5 unlocalized genomic scaffold Chr5_random001, whole genome shotgun sequence.
CAAUCGGCCCUUUUUAGGGCCACCAAAUCUUAUGAACGUAUGAACG